GGCGCCGUGGCCGAGUGGCUAGGCAGCGGCCUGCAAAGCCGCGUACAGCGGUUCGAUUCCGCUCGGCGCCU
rnacentral:tRNA from 1 species